rnacentral:rRNA from 1 species
CUGGAUAUCGCGAGUUGGGGAGGCAUCCACGCGGUUCAUGCUUUGUGGGCCGCGACGGUUCUUGGACAUGGUCGUAGGAAAAAGGCGAUCUCAUCACUUCUUAUGCUCAUCACCUGGGAGGUGUGGAACGAAAGGAAUGCAAGAGUUUUCCGCAACAAGUCCACGAUGCCAACUAUCUUGAUUGACAAAAUCAAAACAUAAGCUAGGAAUUGGUUUCUCGCCAAGGCGAAACAUUUGAAUUAUUUGAUGCCGCCAGAGUAG